GGUUGUUAGCUCAGUGGUAGAGCACUUGCCUAUCAUGCCUGAGGCACUGGGUUCGAUCCCCAGCACCA
rnacentral:tRNA from 1 species